rfam:Megaselia scalaris, Durham, NC isolate 2 -- Noor lab, WGS project CAQQ02000000 data, contig: ctg0000197518
UUAAAAUUAACGAGCGAUUGUCAGCCUAGUCGCUUGUGUUCUUUGGCUUCAAAGUGACUAGACCGAACACUCGUGCAAUAAUUUUAGAA